GAAAUGCGAUAAGUAGUGUGAAUUGCAGAAUUUAGCGAAUCAUCGAAUCUUUGAACGCACAUUGCGCCCCUUGGUAUUCCAUGGGGCGUGCCUGUUCGAGCGUCAUUUCAACCCUCAAGCACUGCUUGGUGUUGGGCGUUUGUCCCGCCUACGCGCGUGGACUCGCCUCAAAGUCAUUGGCAGCUGUUCCCCUUCGGCUCGUAAGCGCAGCACAGUCGGCGCCCGGAGCUCUGGUGGGAUGGCGUCCAGCAAGCUAUAUUUUCAGGCUUGACCUCGGAUCAGGUAGGGAUACCCGCUGAACUUAAGC
rnacentral:misc_RNA from 1 species